UACGAAGGGUGCAAGCGUUAAUCGGAAUUACUGGGCGUAAAGCGUGCGCAGGCGGUGAUGUAAGACAGUUGUGAAAUCCCCGGGCUCAACCUGGGAACUGCAUCUGUGACUGCAUCGCUGGAGUGCGGCAGAGGGGGAUGGAAUUCCGCGUGUAGCAGUGAAAUGCGUAGAUAUGCGGAGGAACACCGAUGGCGAAGGCAAUCCCCUGGGCCUGCACUGACGCUCAUGCACGAAAGCGUGGGGAGCAAACAGG
rnacentral:rRNA from 1 species